rnacentral:rRNA from 1 species
GACGAACGCUGGCGGCGUGCUUAACACAUGCAAGUCGAACGGAAAGGCCCCCACUUUUUUGGUGGGGGUGCUCGAGUGGCGAACGGGUGAGUAACACGUGGGUGAUCUGCCCUGUACUUCGGGAUAAGCUUGGGAAACUGGGUCUAAUACCGGAUAGGACCAUGGUUUAGUGUCUCAUGGUGGAAAAAUUAUUGUUUUGGUGCAGGAUGAGCUCGCGGCCUAUCAGCUUGUUGGUGGGGUAAUGGCCUACCAAGGCGUCGACGGGUAGCCGGCCUGGGAGGGUGGACGGCCACAUUGGGACUGAGAUACGGCCCAGACUCCGACGGGAGGCGGCAGUGGGGAAGAUUGCAGAAUGGGCGCAAGCCUGAGGCAGCGACGCCGCGUGGGGGAUGACGGCCGUCGGGUUGUAAACUCCUUUCGUUAGGGACGAAGCCGCACCUUUUUUGGGUGUGGUGACGGUACCUUUGUUAAGAAGCACCGGCUAACUACGUG